rnacentral:rRNA from 1 species
AGCCAUGCAUGUCCAGUGAACUCUCAGAGGGAACGACGAACGGCUCAGUAAUACUGCGAUGAUUUGCCCUGUCCAGAUCGAUAACUACGGGAAACUGUAGCUAAGAGGACAGGAUAAGACGCAGACCUAUCAGCUAGUUGGUAGUGUAAUGGACUACCAAGGCAGUCACGGGUAACGGGAAAUUAGGGUUUUAUUCCGGAGAGGGAGCCUGAGAGAUGGCUCCCACGUCCAUGGACGGCAGCAGGCGCGGAAAUUGCCCACUCUUGCAGGAGGAGGCAGUUAUGAGACAUGUGCGAAAGAACAGACUGCAAAGCGGUCUGUGUGAUGCGAUUGGAGGGCAAGACCGACUCCAAGAGUUUCUAUGGUGGAUGCUGCAGUUAAAAAGUCCGUAGUUGUUGAGACAAUUAAAGAAUACAGAUCGAAUGUGUUCAAUUUGUCACAAGUAGUGGAACGGAUAGGGAACAUAGUAUAGGUGGGCGAGAGAUGAAAUACCAAGACCCCAUCUGGACUGACAGAGGCGAAGGCGAUGUUCUUAUACGAAUCCUUAGAUCAAGGACGAAGGCUGGAGUAUCGAAAGUGAUUAGAUACCGCUGUAGUUCCAGCAGUAAACUAUGCCGACACUGCCUGGCGCUUGCUGGGCAGGGGAGAAAUCUUAGUGUUCGGGCUCUGGGGAUAUUAUGCUCGCAAGUGUGAAAAUUAAAGAAAUU